rnacentral:sRNA from 1 species
AUGUACCACUCGUACACUCCGGUUCCUGUGCGCCGCCCGCACCCGCCUGACGACUGCUCGCGAUGUCGCUGGGCG